AGGAUGUUUCCCAGAGAGGUUCAACAAUGAUACCUGUUUGCUGCUUUUUAGGUUUUAGAGAAAACAAGCAGCAAGGCAGCUGAGUUAGAAUAAACUGUAGAUAAGUACAGACUUACAUGCUCUAAGUCCUCAUAAAGAAAUGUCUAAAUUACCUUUAAAAAACCUCCUACCAGUGCCAGCAGCAGCAUGUUUGUUACCCUGUCACUAGGAUGAGCUUAGAUGCCCCUCCCUUUAUGCCGGUGGUUUGGGUGUAACUGAUACUACUUGUAUGAGGAAUGUUAAAUAAAGGGAGAAAACCUCUUGUUUUUUAGAAUAUAGUUGUUGUUUUUUUAGAAAUACCCAUCUUUUUAGAAAGGUCUUUCUGAAUUAAAGGAGGAUUUGGUACUUUGUGCUUUUCUGAAGGCCUGGGAGGUGCCCUGCAAUAUAAAAAGGUGACAUUAAUUUUUGGCCAACUGUGCUGGUCCAGGUAUGCAGAGUAUCUUUAGGAAAUGCAAAAAUAAAAGGGAAAGCAUGUGAAGUGCUAAUUAAACCAUUUCUUUAGUAUUUUGUUGUUGCAUUUCAUUGAAGAGCUUUGGUAUGUAAAAAACAUUAUUUAAUAAAGUAUUAAUUUAAAAGAAGAAUGCAUGGAGAUCCAAUUAUUUGCAGUAGCUUUUUGUUGCCUCCCUCUUCAUGCACCAUGCAUCCUGGAAGCAAAGGUAUGAUUCCUAGUCCCGGUGUCAGAAUUUUCCCUUUUCCAUCCUAGCUGAUGAAGUGAGUCACCUGUGUGUAUUUCUAUCAAUUUCUAUUUCAUAAAGACUGAAAUGUUAACUGUUAAGCAGCUCUUUUCUUGUUUCUUUGGUUAUGCUGGAAGAGGAGCACUAAAGAAUCAAAAAACAAAUUUAAUGUUAAGAAAGAACCACUUUCAUAGGCCCUCCCAAAGAUCCUGAAAUAUCUGCAUGUUUCUCUUCUAGUUUAGAAUGUGACUGAGACAGCACAUGAUGUGUUGCCUGAUGCAAGAACUGUGUUCAGUUAAUGCAUAUUGCCAAGUUUGUGUCUGCAAACAGGAGCUUGAUUUGCAGUGUCUGGGCUGUGACUGAUCAUAUUCAGUCACAAAGGGGGCCAACAAACAGCUGCAUAAAUGUCUGGUAGAAUACAGGAAAUCGUCUUGAGGUUUUUGAUCAAUGAUUUCGAAACAAGGACAGUCAGACAUAGGCUGUAAGAUUAAACCAGCCUGAAUCCAUCCUCAUUUGUAAUAAAAAGUUAAAUAUUUUGGAACGCUCUGACUUUUCCCAGUCCACCCACUCUUGUAAAAAUCCCAUGCAGCUGGAUUUGGUGGUGACACCAAGAUUCUGGUAAACUGUCAGAAUGGUCCCUCUGGUUUGUCAGGGCUUCCUGAUUUGUUUCACUGGUUUGUUACCUCCUCAUCUGUUGGGUUACAAAGCAAUAAAGGCUGCACUUAUUAUACUGCUUAUCUCAGAUAGCACUUCCUCUCUGUUCAUGCCCAUUCAUAGUUACAUACGACAUGCAGUAUUAUUUUCAGCUAUAUUUGGCUUGCAUGUAAUCCAACUUUCCAGCUCCUCUCUGUGUUAUGUAAAUACAACAGCAGGAGAAGCCGCCUUUAGUCCUCUUGUGCCAGGAGGGCACAGUGAACAUCAACAUGGACAUGUUCCUGAAGACCAAAACUGUUUUCUGGAAGUCUGCUCACAGAUUUCAUGAUCCAUCUGUUUUCUGUAGAAUGCAGUUAUUUAAAGCAACAAGUUCACUUCAGAGACGUAGUACAGUAGCUGCUGUUUCUGUUGACUUUUCUGAUGAGGCUCAAUAUUGUCUAUUUUCCAUUAUAUCUCAACACUGCCUUUAAUUGCCUCUUUCCAACAGAUUUACAUAUUAUCCCUCCCGGCUGUUCACACACAGAUUUCCCUUUACUUGGCAACCUUCCAGUCACUCCGUACUAAAGACAGAGGUACUAAAUCAGCAAAGCAGUUGAUGAGAGUCAAAAUAAAACUACAUUAUACUACGUGGCCUACAGAUGACUGAACAAUUAAACAACAGCAUCUGAGACUGUCGCCAGAAGUUCUCUUCCUUUUCUUAUGACAGCUCAUUUUAAGCAUUUUUGGGCAGGAAUUGGCUUCGUAACCCUGAUACUUGGGGCACUUGGGGAAGCAGAGACACUCCCUGGAGAACCACACAGGUCAUUCACAUGGCCAGGCUGACUCAGCAGUAAGUCUACACAUGUCCAACUGCAAAUAUGUCAACUAAACAGCAACACAUGUAAGCAAAGAGGCACUUUGUAUAUAUGCUGCAGAACAAAGGAAGAGAAAGUCAGCUGAAUGGUUUGGGGAAGUAAUGAAAGCAACUCAGCAAAUUCACAAAUCAAAUAUUUAGUGUCCUUCAAUUUUUUCAUUUUCUGUGAAACAGGUUUAUUUCACAAGCUGCACACAGUGAUAAAU